rnacentral:lncRNA from 1 species
UCCAGAUAUACUACACACUUAAGGAAAGGUUUAUCACAAAUUAUGGUACAUAUGAAUUCAUAUUUCACAUAACUUUGAUAACUUUGGAGCCAGCUUCCUGUAAGAUGAGAUUUGAUUGUCCUUACAACUAGGCUGAUGAAAAGCUCAGACUAGGAGUCAAAUCAUCAUUUUUUCCUUUUUCUUGUUCCCCUGUGCUUGAAUUAUGAGUUCACCCCUCAAUCAUGUUUUCUGUUUAAGCUCAUUUUCCAUUCUAAAUGCAAUAUAAUGGAAUGGAAUGGAAUAAUGGAAUAUAAUGUAAGUGAAUGAGCAUAAACUGUGAUAGAUUUUCACAGGUUGAAAAUGGAGCUAUGGCUGAGAACACUAUCAUCAAGCCAUCUCCACUGGGAAUUCCCACUCUUCCCUCAGGGUGGCCAAUAUAAUUAAUAUGCAACAUAAUCAUCUCAGAGACAAAGUAUGAACACUAUUGUCAGUCUCCAUAGUAAAUAUUAGUACAGCUUCAUCUUUCUUGAUUUGAGGUAAAAAAUAUCAACGGCAGUUCUAAUACUUUCUUCCCUCUGCAUUGAAUUAUAUUGUGUGUCCUCUGGGAUAAGUACACUACAUCUGAGAGACCACUACCCACAAAGGCAAUGAAGUCACAAAGCUUCCUAAAAUGGUUAAGAAUCUUGCUUUGUGAUAACCCCAAAGGAAUGAAUCUCUAAUGGUGAGAAUUUCAGAUACUGUGAUAGUUUGGUAGAAGAGAUAUUUGGGAUCAGAGGAUUUCUUCAGUGGUACCCUUCACAUCCAAAGAUGAGGAAACUAAAAUCCAAAGAAGAGAAGUGACUUGAUAAUUAAGGUGACCAAGCUUCUGCCUACCAGAGGGAUGAUCUAAAAGAAAAUCCUGAUUCCAGACUUAGGUCCUAUUCAAUUAUGUCACAUCAAUUUGUCUCAGCUCCUUACAUCUCUACAGGAAUUGUUUCACUCUUCAAUGACUGCCUAUUUUGUUUUUCCCUCCACUACCUCUCCAUCCUUUGUUGCCAUUCAAGGUGCAAGGGAAGGACCAAAGACGUGACUGUUAAUACCAAGUACCUCACAAACUGGCAAGUAGAAACUAUCACUCUAUCAAUGGAAGAAGAAUCAUUACACAGUCAUCUGAUAUAACAACCACAUGAAGAAAUGAUGAUUCUGAGAAAUUCAUAAAAGUCAUGGGGAAACUUGAUGCAAAGGAAACAGAAUCAAGAAAUAUACAGAUGCCUACUGAAACAUAUGACCAUAAGGAGAUCACACACUCACAGUGGGGAACUGGAGAGAGAGGGUGAAAGAACUUAAGAAAUGGAGAGAGGGAAGAGAUUGAUCUUCCCCUUUCUUCCCCUUGGGGAAGAUAGUACAAUUUGUCUUCUAGAGGGACAGAAUAUUUCUCCUCAGAGAUUGGGUUUGGGAGGUGGAGGUUAAGGACUAGAGGAGAAGGUCUGAGAGGAAUGACCCACUACCCCUUUUCUUGAUCUUAGCUGUUGCUGAGAAACAGAGUAAACUUCCUGCCUCUGGAUCCUCCCAAUAUCCCAACUACCACCUUUUCCAUUGAGACCUAGUUCACUCCUUAACCCUGGUCUUGAACUACUCUCCCCUUUGGGGAAUGGUAUGAUUACCCCCAAAUCUUCAGUCUCCUUCUUGAUAUCAGAAAGCAGGCAGACCUGAUCUAAAUGGUAACACUUUAUUCUUGAGGACACACAGGGAAGGGAGGAUGAAGGUGUUUGGUUGAGGAAAGUGGGAGAUAGGAAUCCCUAUAGAUUAACAACUGACCUCCCCCCAAAUCCUGAGGGGUUCAGACUGUCUGCCUGACCCUCCUUUGGUCAGUUGUUGGGUUUGUCCUUCCUCCUAAGCUAAUCUGGCUAUGAGUUGAAUUUCAGGACAAUUUGGGGAAAGAGAGAUCUUCUCAUAGAAGGUUUUCUAUAAAGUCCCAACAUACUUUUGUCUUCAUUUGGAACCAGUGAGAUUUAGGGGUUCACUGGAAGGUAGUCAAUGUCCAGAGGGAUCCUCUGUCUCAGAGGUCCUCCUCUCAGACCCUCCACUAAAGGAGAGAGAGCUGAUCAGAAGAGAACUGACAAUUUUGAAUCCUCUCAACUCCUCUGUUCCUUCCUGGUAUCUUGAGUCUUCCUUGACCUUCGCCCAUUUGGGCUGUUUCUUUGCCUUACUGGAUCUGAAUUUUCCUUCUUUUUCAACUUCUCUCUUCUACUACAAUAAUAAAAGUGAGCAGAAAAUGAAUUGUAAUGACCA